rnacentral:rRNA from 1 species
AUACGGAGGGUGCAAGCGUUACUCGGAAUCACUGGGCGUAAAGAGAGUGUAGGUGGUUUAUUAAGUCGGAUGUGAAAUCCCGGGACUCAACCUCGGAACUGCAUUCGAUACUGAUAGGCUAGAGUUUGGGAGGGGUAAGCGGAAUUCCGUGUGUAGCAGUGAAAUGCGUAGAUAUACGGAGGAACACCUGAGGCGAAGGCGGCUUACUGGACCAAUACUGACACUGAGACUCGAAAGCGUGGGUAGCAAACAGGAUUAGAAACCCCGGUAGUCC